rnacentral:snRNA from 1 species
GGAUGUGAGGACAAUCUGGCUGUGAUAUCUGUCACCCCAUUGAUCACCAGGGUUAAUUCGGCUGAUCUGGCUGGCUAGGCGGGUGUCCCCUUCCUCCCUCAAUGAUCCAUGUGCGUCCCUCCCGAAGCUGCGCGUUCGGUCGAAGAGGACGACCACCCUCGAUAGAGGAGGACCAUUUCUCAGUCAAGGGUAUACGAGUAGCUGCACUCCCCUGCUAGAACCUCCAAACAAGGUCUCAGAAUUAUUGGCCUUGAUCCCAGCGGAUGCAUCUGUCUGUGCUGCAGCCCCACACAGGAGAUGCAGCCU